GAAGCGGGAAGAGCUCAAAUUUAUAAUCUGGCACCUUCGGUGUCCGAGUUGUAAUCUCUAGAAAUGUUUUCCGCGUUGGACCGCACACAAGUCUGUUGGAAUACAGCGGCAUAGUGGUGAGACCCCCGUAUAUGGUGCGGACGCCCAGCGCUUUGUGAUACAUUUUCGAAGAGUCGAGUUGUUUGGGAAUGCAGCUCAAAUUGGGUGGUAAAUUCCAUCUAAAGCUAAAUAUUGGCGAGAGACCGAUAGCGAACAAGUACCGUGAGGGAAAGAUGAAAAGCACUUUGGAAAGAGAGUUAACAGUACGUGAAAUUGUUGGAAGGGAAACGCUUGAAGUCAGACUUGCUUGCCGAGCAAUCGGUUUGCAGGCCAGCAUCAGUUUUCCGGGAUGGAUAAUGGUAGAGAGAAGGUAGCAGUUUCGGCUGUGUUAUAGCUCUCUGCUGGAUACAUCUUGGGGGACUGAGGAACGCAGUGUGCCUUUGGCGGGGGUU
rnacentral:rRNA from 1 species